GUGGGCAAAGGGCAGGCUUCAGGAUGUGUGGAUUGGUGCUGUUUAGAUUGAAGAGGGAAGGCAAAACAGGCAGAGAGGUGUAUUAGAAUUCUAUUAAACUAGGAUGGUUGGAAUAGACAUCAUCAGCGUGGUGACGUGUAUUGUAUGUUUUCGAAUGACUGUUCGAAAAAGGAAGAAGGAAAACUCAAUUACCUGCUGCCUGGUGUGAGAGACUAAUAUCCGUGAUGCUUUCUCUGGGAAAAGGCGUUCUGGCCCAACAAUCUGGUAAAGGACAGCGAAAUCAGCAUUGAAAUACAUUCUUGAUGUUGAAGAUAUAGCAAAAGUUUGAUCCCAAAGAUCAAAGUCAACUGAAAACGUACCCAGCACCACUUGAUCUACCAGAAGACAAGUUGCCAUAUGCGCCAUAACCACUUUCGCUACCAGCCUGAAACUCACUGAAACAAAUUAGGCUAUGAAAUUAAUAACAGCGACAUUGCAGAUAUGGUCCCUGAUAAACAAAGAUAACCUCACCAAUGGACUCGCAUAGCUGUCACUUGAAUGUAGAGAACCGUAUGAUCCUGAGGCUGAAGGGUAUCCACCACGCCCACGAGAUUGACCAUCUCGGCUUCCUAUCAAACCAUCUGACAUUUCUAAAGGCAUUGGGACAUAU
rnacentral:lncRNA from 1 species